GUAGGGAAUCUUCGGCAAUGGACGGAAGUCUGACCGAGCAACGCCGCGUGAGUGAAGAAGGUUUUCGGAUCGUAAAGCUCUGUUGUUAGAGAAGAAUGAUGGUGGGAGUGGAAAAUCCACCAUGUGACGGUAACUAACCAGAAAGGGACGGCUAACUACGUGCCAGCAGCCGCGGUAAUACGUAGGUCCCGAGCGUUGUCCGGAUUUAUUGGGCGUAAAGCGAGCGCAGGCGGUUCUUUAAGUCUGAAGUUAAAGGCAGUGGCUCAACCAUUGUACGCUUUGGAAACUGGAGAACUUGAGUGCAGAAGGGGAGAGUGGAAUUCCAUGUGUAGCGGUGAAAUGCGUAGAUAUAUGGAGGAACACCGGUGGCGAAAGCGGCUCUCUGGUCUGUAACUGACGCUGAGGCUCGAAAGCGUGGGGAGCAAACAGGAUUAGAAACCCUAGUAGUCC
rnacentral:rRNA from 1 species